rnacentral:rRNA from 1 species
UACAGAGGGGGCAAGCGUUGUUCGGAAUUACUGGGCGUAAAGGGCGCGUAGGCGGCCCGCUAAGUCGAACGUGAAAUCCCCAGGCUCAACCUGGGAACUGCAUCCGAUACUGGAUGGCUUGAAUUCGGGAGAGGGAUGCAGAAUUCCAGGUGUAGCGGUGAAAUGCGUAGAUAUCUGGAGGAAUACCGGUGGCGAAGGCGGCAUCCUGGACCGACAUUGACGCUGAAGGGCGAAAGCUAGGGGAGCAAACGGG